UGGGGAAUGUUGGACAAUGGGGGAAACCCUGAUCCAGCCAUGCCGCGUGAGUGAUGAAGGCCUUAGGGUUGUAAAGCUCUUUCGCUGGGGAAGAUAAUGACGGUACCCAGUAAAGAAGCGCCGGCUAACUUCGUGCCAGCAGCCGCGGUAAUACGAAGGGGGCUAGCGUUGUUCGGAAUUACUGGGCGUAAAGCGCACGUAGGCGGGUAUUUAAGUCAGGGGUGAAAUCCAGGAGCUCAACUCCGGAACUGCCCUUGAUACUGGAUACCUUGAGUUCGAGAGAGGUGAGUGGAAUUCCGAGUGUAGAGGUGAAAUUCGUAGAUAUUCGGAGGAACACCAGUGGCGAAGGCGGCUCACUGGCUCGAUACUGACGCUGAGGUGCGAAAGCAUGGGGAGCAAACAGGAUUAGAUACCCGUGUAGUCC
rnacentral:rRNA from 1 species